rnacentral:rRNA from 1 species
GAUGAACGCUGACAGAAUGCUUAACACAUGCAAGUCAACUUGAAUUUGGGUUUUUAACUUAGGUUUGGGUGGCGGACGGGUGAGUAACGCGUAAAGAACUUGCCUCACAGCUAGGGACAACAUUUGGAAACGAAUGCUAAUACCUAAUAUUAUGAUAAUAGGGCAUCCUAUAAUUAUGAAAGCUAUAAGCGCUGUGAGAGAGCUUUGCGUCCCAUUAGCUAGUUGGAGAGGUAACGGCUCAUCAAGGCGAUGAUGGGUAGCCGGCCUGAGAGGGUGAUCGGCCACAAGGGGACUGAGACACGGCCCUUACUCCUACGGGAGGCAGCAGUGGGGAAUAUUGGACAAUGGACCAAGAGUCUGAUCCAGCAAUUCUGUGUGCACGAUGAAGUUUUUCGGAAUGUAAAGUGCUUUCAGUUGGGAAGAAAGAAAUGACGGUACCAACAGAAGAAGUGACGGCUAAAUACGUGCCAGCAGCCGCGGUAAUACGUAUGUCACGAGCGUUAUCCGGAUUUAUUGGGCGUAAAGCGCGUCUAGGUGGUUAUGUAAGUCUGAUGUGAAAAUGCAGGGCUCAACUCUGUAUUGCGUUGGAAACUGUAUAACUAGAGUACUGGAGAGGUAAGCGGAACUACAAGUGUAGAGGUGAAAUUCGUAGAUAUUUGUAGGAAUGCCGAUGGGGAAGCCAGCUUACUGGACAGAUACUGACGCUGAAGCGCGAAAGCGUGGGUAGCAAACAGG